rnacentral:rRNA from 1 species
UUAAAGGAAUUGACGGAAGGGCACCWCCAGGAGUGGGACCUGCGGCUUAAUUUGACUCAACACGGGAAAACUCACUUGGUCCGGACACUGGAAGGAUUGACAGAUUGAAAGCUCUUUCUUGAUUCAGUGGGUGGUGGUGCAUGGCCGUUCUUAGUUGGUGGAGUGAUUUGUCUGGUUAAUUCCGAUAACGAACGAGACUCUAGCCUGCUAACUAGUUCGCCGAUUUGUCCUCAAAUCGCGCGUCGCUUCGUCGGGUUUCGGCUCGGCGGGGCCAACUUCUUAGAGGGACAGGUGGCGUUUAGUCACACGAAGUAGAGCAAUAACAGGUCUGUGAUGCCCUUAGAUGUCCGAGGCCGCACGCGCGUCACACUGAAUGAAUCAACGUGGAUAUGCACCUGCUCCGAGAGGAGUGGGAAACCCGAUGAAUCUCAUUCGUGAUGGGGAUUGGGGCUUGUAAUUGUUCCCCAUGAACGAGGAAUUCCCAGUAAGCGUCAGUCAUAAGCUGGCGUUGAUUACGUCCCUGCCCUUUGUACACACCGCCCGUCGCUACUACCGAUUGAAUGGUUUAGUGAGACCCUCGGACUGGAAUCCGCUGGGUGGCCUCUUUCGGGGGGUUGCCUGCGGGGACGGAAAGACGGUCGAACUUGAUCAUUUAGAGGAAGUAAAAGUCGUAACAAGGUUUCC